UACGGGGGGGCAAGCGUUGUUCGGGAAUUACUGGGCGUAAAGGGCGCGUAGGCGGCCUGCUAAGUCGGAUGUGAAAUCCCUCGGCUCAACCGAGGAACUGCAUCCGAUACUGGCGGGCUUGAAUCCGGGAGAGGGAUGUGGAAUUCCAGGUGUAGCGGUGAAAUGCGUAGAUAUCUGGAGGAACACCGGUGGCGAAGGCGGCAUCCUGGACCGGUAUUGACGCUGAGGCGCGAAAGCUAGGGGAGCAAACGGGG
rnacentral:rRNA from 1 species